AGACCAAGGUUUCCUGCGCAACGCUAAUCGGCGCAGGGUGAGUCGGCCCCUAAGGCGAGGCAGAAAUGCGUAGCUGAUGGGAAACAGGUUAAUAUUCCUGUACUUCUUAUAACUGCGAUGGAGAGACGGAGAAGGCUAUGCCUACCGGGCGUUGGUUGUCCCGGGGAAAGGCUGUAGGCUGAGGUGUUAGGCAAAUCCGGCACCUUAAGGCUGAGAGUCGAGACCACUGGUCCUUUGUGACCGGGAAGUGGUUGAUGCCAUGCUUCCAGGAAAAUCUUCUAAGCUUCAGGUUAUAAGGAACCGUACCCCAAACCGACACAGGUGGUUGGGAUGAGUAUUCUAAGGCGCUUGAGAGAACUCGGGUGAAGGAACUAGGCAAAGUGGUACCGUAACUUCGGGAGAAGGUACGCCGCUGACGGUGAUGAGACUUGCUCUCUGAGCUAUCGGCGGUCGCAGUGAAAAGGCCCCUGCAACUGUUUAUUAAAAACACAGCACUCUGCAAACGCGUAAGCGGACGUAUAGGGUGUGACGCCUGCCCGGUGCCGGAAGGUUAAUUGAUGGGGUUAGCUUCGGCGAAGCUCUUGAUCGAAGCCCCGGUAAACGGCGGCCGUAACUAUAACGGUCCUAAGGUAGCGAAAUUCCUUGUCGGGUAAGUUCCGACCUGCACGAAUGGCGUAAUGAUGGGGGCGCUGUCUCCACCCGAGACUCAGUGAAAUCGAAAUCGCAGUGAAGAUGCUGUGUACCCGCGGCUAGACGGAAAGACCCCGUGAACCUUUACUAUAGCUUCACAGUGGACUUUGAACCUGUUUGUGUAGGAUAGCUGGGAGACUUUGAAGCAGUGACGCUAGUCAUUGUGGAGUCGUCCUUGAAAUACCAGCCUGGCAUGUUUGAGGUUCUAACCUGGGUCCCUUAUCGGGAUCGGGGACAUUGUGUGGUGGGUAGUUUGACUGGGGCGGUCUCCUCCCAAAGAGUAACGGAGGAGCACGAAGGUUAGCUAAGCAUGGUCGGACAUCAUGCGGUUAGUGCAAUGGCAUAAGCUAGCUUGACUGCGAGACAGACACGUCGAGCAGGUACGAAAGUAGGUCAUAGUGAUCCGGUGG
rnacentral:rRNA from 1 species